AGUGAACGCUGGCGGUAUGCCUAACACAUGCAAGUCGAACGACAGCACAGUAAGCGCUUGCCUUUAAGGGUGGCGGGUGGCGGACGGGUGAGGCAUACAUCAGAUUCCAAUUUUUCUUGGGGAAUAACGGAGGGCAACAUACGCUACUACCGAAUACGACCUACGGGUGAAAGCAGUAGUUAAUCAGACCUUGCGCGUUUCAAUUAGACGAUGUCGGAUUAGCUAGUUGGCGGGGUAAAGGCCCACCAAGGCGACGAUCCGUAGCUGGUCUGAGAGGAUGAUCAGCCACACUGGAACUGAGACACGGUCCAGACUCCUACGGGAGGCAGCAGUGGGGAAUAUUGGACAAUGGGCGCAAGCCUGACGCAGCAAUACCGCGUGAGUGAUGAAGGCCUUCGGGUUGUAAAGCCCUUUUAUUAGGAAAGAAAAGCAGCAGAUGAAUAUCCCGCUGUUCUGACGGUACCCAAAGAAAAAGCACCGGCUAACUUCGUG
rnacentral:rRNA from 1 species